rnacentral:rRNA from 1 species
CCUACGGGAGGCUGCAGUGGGGAAUAUUGGACAAUGGGGGCAACCCUGAUCCAGCCAUGCCGCGUGUGUGAAGAAGGCCCUCGGGUUGUAAAGCACUUUCAGUGAGGAAGAACGCCUGGUGGUUAAUACCCAUCAGGAAAGACAUCACUCACAGAAGAAGCACCGGCUAACUCCGUGCCAGCAGCCGCGGUAAUACGGAGGGUGCGAGCGUUAAUCGGAAUUACUGGGCGUAAAGCGCGCGUAGGUGGCUUGAUAAGCCGGUUGUGAAAGCCCGGGCUCAACCUGGGAACGGCAUCCGGAACUGUCAAGCUAGAGUGCAGGAGAGGAAGGUAGAAUUCCCGGUGUAGCGGUGAAAUGCGUAGAGAUCGGGAGGAAUACCAGUGGCGAAGGCGGCCUUCUGGACUACACUGACACUGAGGUGCGAAAGCGUGGGUAGCAAACAGGAUUAGAUACCCGUGUAGUC